ensembl:snRNA U6 U6 spliceosomal RNA
GCUCACUUCAGCUGCACAUAUACUAAACUGGAACAAUACAGAGAAGAUGGGCAUGGCCCCAGUGAGAGAGUGACAUGCAAAUCUGUGUAAUAUCCAUACUUUCG